rnacentral:rRNA from 1 species
GAGAGUUUGAUCCUGGCUCAGAUUGAACGCUAGCGGGAUGCUUUACACAUGCAAGUCGAACGGCAGCACGAAAAAAGCUUGCUUUUUUUGGUGGCGAGUGGCGAACGGGUGAGUAAUAUAUCGGAACGUACCCAGUAGCGGGGGAUAACUACGCGAAAGCGUGGCUAAUACCGCAUACGCCCUACGGGGGAAAGGGGGUGAUCGCAAGACCUCUCACUAUUGGAGCGGCCGAUAUCGGAUUAGCUAGUUGGUGGGGUAAAGGCCCACCAAGGCAACGAUCCGUAGCUGGUUUGAGAGGACGACCAGCCACACUGGGACUGAGACACGGCCCAGACUCCUACGGGAGGCAGCAGUGGGGAAUUUUGGACAAUGGGGGAAACCCUGAUCCAGCCAUCCCGCGUGUGCGAUGAAGGCCUUCGGGUUGUAAAGCACUUUUGGCAGGAAAGAAACGUCAUGGGCUAAUACCCCGUGAAACUGACGGUACCUGCAGAAUAAGCACCGGCUAACUACGUGCCAGCAGCCGCGGUAAUACGUAGGGUGCAAGCGUUAAUCGGAAUUACUGGGCGUAAAGCGUGCGCAGGCGGUUCGGAAAGAAAGAUGUGAAAUCCCAGAGCUUAACUUUGGAACUGCAUUUUUAACUACCGAGCUAGAGUGUGUCAGAGGGAGGUGGAAUUCCGCGUGUAGCAGUGAAAUGCGUAGACAUGCGGAGGAACACCGAUGGCGAAGGCAGCCUCCUGGGAUAACACUGACGCUCAUGCACGAAAGCGUGGGAGCAAACAGGAUUAGAUACCCUGGUAGUCCACGCCCUAAACGAUGUCAACUAGCUGUUGGGGCCUUCGGGCCUUGGUAGCGCAGCUAACGCGUGAAGUUGACCGCCUGGGGAGUACGGUCGCAAGAUUAAAACUCAAAGGAAUUGACGGGGACCCGCACAAGCGGUGGAUGAUGUGGAUUAAUUCGAUGUAACGCGAAAAACCUUACCCACCCUUGACAUGUCUGGAAUUCCGAAGAGAUUUGGAAGUGCUCGCAAGAGAACUGGAACACAGGUGCUGCAUGGCUGUCGUCAGCUCGUGUCGUGAGAUGUUGGGUUAAGUCCCGCAACGAGCGCAACCCUUGUCAUUAGUUGCUACGAAAGGGCACUCUAAUGAGACUGCCGGUGACAAACCGGAGGAAGGUGGGGAUGACGUCAAGUCCUCAUGGCCCUUAUGGGUAGGGCUUCACACGUCAUACAAUGGUCGGGACAGAGGGUCGCCAACCCGCGAGGGGGAGCCAAUCCCAGAAACCCGAUCGUAGUCCGGAUCGCAGUCUGCAACUCGACUGCGUGAAGUCGGAAUCGCUAGUAAUCGCGGAUCAGCAUGUCGCGGUGAAUACGUUCCCGGGUCUUGUACACACCGCCCGUCACACCAUGGGAGUGGGUUUUACCAGAAGUAGUUAGCCUAACCGCAAGGGGGGCGAUUACCACGGUAGGAUUCAUGACUGGGGUGAAGUCGUAACAAGGUAGCCGUA